UAGUUAUGAAGAGAUCAAUUCUGACCAGAAAUUGCUUCAUGCUAUUGACAUGUAUUGGGAGUCAAGAAGGCUAUCCGUACAAGUUUGUGUUCUGAGAAAGGAUGAAUCAGAUGCUGUGCAUGAUGUUGGACGGCUGGAGAGCAUGCAUUGUUUGUUGCAAGGAAGCACUGACAUCAUGUGCUGCUGAUCCACCACAAGAACAACCAUCACCUGCUGAACCAUUUAUGUCAAAAAGGUUGCAGCUAGAGCCAUCCACGCCAAGUAUAAGCAUCUCUCCUGUUCAAAUACCUAGUCCGAUGACAAGGGGCCGCAAGAGGAUGCUGGAAUAUGAAGGCUCCAUACAGCCCAUUACCUGCUCAGCUCUAUCUCCAAUGCAUGUCGAUGAGAAGGGAGAGGCGAAAAAGCUAAAAGUAGUUAGGUCCAAGAAAAUGGAAAUGUAGGUUAUGUAGUAUUUUGUUGUAGGUCUAAUGUGGGCACUUGCUAGUAUCAGGAUAGUCAGAUGUGGCUCAAACAUUUCUUUUGGUUUGCAGGACCUCUAAGUCCUUUUUCUUUUACCAUGCUGUAUUCUAAGGGUGAAUUCUAUAACCCAAUGUGGCUAAACCUGCUAUUUUGUAUUUGUGAACUGCAUGCUCAAAUGUCCAGUGAAAAUCUGUUAUAUUGGCCCUUUU